ACCCCUGUAGCUCAUUUGGAUAGACCACCCGACUGCUAAUCGGGAGGUAACCGGAUCGUGCCCGGUCAGGGGUA
rnacentral:tRNA from 2 species